UUGAGACGGUCCGGCCUGCGCCGCACGCUGCUGGAGGGGCCUGGCUCUGACGCCGACGCCGACGUGCCCUCUCGUUGGCGACGCCUUCACACCGCCCACCCUGACCUGUCUCAUCGAGGCUCCACUUCCAAGUUCCAACGCCCACCUGAUCACAGCUUGGCUUCGCUUGCUCGCUCUUCGAUACGCAAGUUCCGUUCAAAGAUCAGCGCAUGCUCGAUCUGCAAAUGGCGCACUCGCUUGCUUCUUUCGAUCUCAUCUGCUGAUUUCUCCCGUGCUGUCCUGCCGGCUCGGGCUAUUGGUUCCGGUCGCCUCAGGAGCCUGCACGCGGGCACGCGGCGGCGGCGGUAAUGCGGCGGAGCGGAGGCGGCGCCGCCAGGCAGCAACAGGAAAAACAGUGUUCUUCAGCUCAGUGUCGGCGUUCGGAAAUCCAUCCAGAGAAGUAGAGAACCGAGGCAGGAGCUUUCAGCUAACUAUCACAUUGUCCUGUUCCUGCAGGAGCUCUGGCAGAUCCACCAGUUGCUCCCACGAAAUCGAUUGGAUUGCAGACGAGCGUGGAGAACUCCGAAGGCCUUCUAAACACUUCAAGGAUAAAGAACAAAAAAGAACAGCUGAGUUCCUGCCUCACAAGACAUAUAAUUCACUCAAGAGGAGGCACACAUGGUCUCGAGAGGAAAAUGAUAAUCUGAUUCAAAAGGUAAAUCUUCAUGGCUCAAAAAGUUGGUCAACUGUUGCACGCGGUAUAACUGGUCGAAGUCCAAACCAAUGCCGAGAGAGGUAAAAUUUACAGGAUAAAGAUUGUAUGAUUGCUUCGCUUUCUGAUUCCAAUGCAAAUGGAUUGGCCUAGCCACCACUUUUGGUUUAUUCAUCCUUUUGCAGCCUCAUUGAAGGCAUCUAGCAAUACCUGCAUGUUGCAUUCCCUUGAUUUACUGUCAGUAAAGGCAACCAGACAGUCGCUUGAGGCAAAAUCUUGUUUUAGACGUCAUGAUGCAUUGAUCUCACAGAAUGGCUACCUUCUGAUACAAGCAUGCAACUUCAUGCUUUGCAGAAUGCAGGACAUUGAAUUGCUUCACAGCUUCUCAAAGAAUUGGUCUCUAUGAAAUACUGAAAUGUCCAGCACAUGAUUUAUACUGUUUUAUAGCAUGUUCAAUCAUGCCUACAACUAUAUAGAAAUUAGUUCGGUCAAACAAUUAUAGUACUAAAUGGAAUCUUUGUUGUUUGGCGUCUUAACCUGCUUUACUCGAAAAUUGACUCCUACAACUUCCAUAUUAUGCAACACCUCUAUUGUUAUAUGUAUCAGAUGAAGCUUCCAAAACUCAGUAAAAAUAUUAACUCAAUACCUAAGAGAUGCCUUGAUUAGACACCAUUGCAGCUUUCUAUAGCACAAAAAAAAAGAAACUUAUGUAUGUUUUCCUGAGAGCACGUUGUUUUACUAAAAGGCACCUUUUGAGUCACUCUUUACUAUAACUAAAUCAUUUAGGGUGUUCAUUCUAGUAAGCAUAGAAAAGGGCCAGUACUAAUGAUAAUAUGGUUCUGUUUUCAGUGGUAAUAUGUCAAAAUGCAAAUCUACAAACAGUGACUGACUUUUUUAUGCCCCCAUGUGUCUUUGGAAAUAAGCAGGAGUAUAGUGUAUUACUCCAUUCGUAUUUGAUCUAUGUAUUUAUUAGCUUCACGGAGAUCAAGGAGGAGAAAAAUACCCUCCGCAGCUCAUUUGAUCCCCGUCGGGUGAGCUGCUCGUGCUCAACGCUUCAUCAUUGGCCAGCCCCUGUCUGUGAAAGAUUUUCACCCAAAGGCAUGAUCUUGAUCUGCGUGCGACCCUAGGAAAAGGGGCCUGCUAGCAAUAUACGCAGAUCAAUCUUGAAUCUCUUUAUUUUGAUAAUGUACCACUCAUGUAUAGUUGUAUACUAUCCGUACCACAGGUGGUAUACAGUUAAUCUUGACAAUAGGAUGUUUUUAUAGUAGUCCUUUUCAAACACUAGUAUAGCCUAGUAUUGUGCACCGUAAAAGAGUUCUACAAGUGUAGAGAGUACAUGGAAAGUUCCUCGUGAGCCAAGAGCAGAGAUUUUCAAAACCUAGUUGCACUAUACACCUCAUUACUGAUUAGUCAAGAACAUAAAGUUGUAGUUAGUAGUUUUGAUGAUACCUACAUUUUAAUCCUUAUUCAGCUUUCCAUUUUGAAUUUCAUCCUUUCAAAUCUUGUUUUGGAACUACUAAGGAUUUACUUUCAUGAAAUUUGAGGAUGCAGAUGGAUGUUUUAUCUUGAUCCUGCUGUGAACAACCAGCCAUGGUCAGAACAGGAGGACAUCAAACUAAUCCAAGCUCAUAAAACUCAUGGAAAUAAAUGGUGUAAACUGGCUAAACUUUUUCCUGGGAGAACAGGGAAAGCAAUUAAAAAUCACUGGCCUAGUCUUGUGAGGAAACAAAUGAAGUCAGAUUUAGUUAAAGGAUUGCCGAAGCAAUUUCCAUUGGUUACAAAGAAUAAAGGCUCCAGUACCAUUAAGAGUGGUCAAGAUUCAUCCAUAAAUAUUCAUGUUUCACCAGAUAUGCCAGUAACGCCCAUAUUGGAACAAGGACUUGCAAAAAAUGGAAGAAAUGAAAGUACUCUGAAAGGAAAAGAUUAUGAUUCUACACAUGGUGAAGGUUAUGUUUCUCAUUCAGUCAAUGUCUCUGAAAAGGUGGAUGGGCAAAUCGGUAGAUAUAAUUCUUCAAGUUCCGGGGAUCAAAAGGUCUCUUCUGCCACAGCAAGUUUUCCAGGGUCCCCGCCAAAAGAGGAAUCAACGAAUUUGCUGGAAGUUACACCUAACAGAGGGUUCUCUCAAGCGUAUAAUCACCUAUCUAACAAUGAUCGUUCCGAUGCCAUUUGCAGUAGUGCUGAUCCGGAAUCACAAGAGCUACAUGGGUCAAAUAUAGCAGAUCUUCUUGACAUGUCAUAUUGCGAGAGCUUGAUGAUUGUUCCACCUGAUUCUCCAAAUCACAGAAAUUCCAUGGAUGGAAUGUGAUAUUACUUCAAAGUUCACCAGUGACAGCACCUGCACUAGCCAUAGAAUAAGCAAGUUUGUGCUCCUUGGCCUUCAAAUUCAUGUGACUUCUCUUUAACUAACAAGCUGGUCCUUGUACCUGUAUGUAAAUACUUUUCUUCUUUAGCUGCAGAAAUUUCUUUGUCAUAAUGUUCGACACAAUUGCAUAUAUGUUGUGUUGUUAGAUCGUAGAGAGGAGCAAUGAUUUAUGCUCUCCUCUGUUUAUUUUCUGAGAAAUAAGGUUACCGUGCAGAGUUCAGAACCUGCAGUUGAGUCGAUAUUUGCUGGUAAAAGUGAUUUCUCUGCAACCAAGCUAGAGCUUGUCUCCCACAGUUGCAUCUACGUGGUAGAAAGAGCAGUAUGUUGCCUUGCCUGGGUUCUGAA